UUUCCGGGUUGGAUGCGCGCUGUGUUAAGAAGCAGUGUGGCUUGGUUGGGUUGUGUAUCGGAGAACGCAUGACUUUCAACCUCGUACGGGAGUUAUAGCGAUGAGACAAGAUAGAAGCUACUAAACAAUUGGAUAAUACGAAAUUGGGGAGGAAAAGGUGUAAAAUUCCCCCCCACCCCCAAAUAAAAUACUGCAUAGUUUACUAAGAACGCGAAGCGAGGCGACCAUCUCUGUCAGUUAGUGUAUUUCCAACCAUGCCAGCACAGAACGGUUCAGUUUGGAUUGUACAGUGGUGUGAAAAAGGUUAGGAUCCACCCUGAUGGAGUCUGCCUUCAUUUCAGCAUGGAGAGAUGUCAGCGAUUCGGGCCAAUGACCAAGGGAACGCUGAGACAAAAGAGAGGUUCACACGAAAUGGAUGCUGCGGCCACUGAUUGCGCAUCAGAGAAUGACUCUGAGAAAGAGGAGUCGUCUGAAGAAUCCUGACCGGUAUGCCUAUACCUUACAUACACAUGGACCUAUUCUUAAUUAAAUGUGCUUUUCAACAUAUUUUCCAGGAGAGAUGUCAGCGAUUCGGGCCAAACAGCCAAUGACCAAACUGGGACAAAAGAGAGGCUCACACAGUAAGCAUGUUUCCUGCUCCCUUCAGUCAGUGCAUUUUCACUCUGUAGUGUCAAUUUAUGGCCGUACUGUGCUGGUCCAGAUCAAUCCUGUCUUUAUCAGUUAGUGUAUU